rnacentral:lncRNA from 1 species
GUCGAUACGUAUAUUGAUCGAUUGAUCGUCAGUCAGACACCACAUUUGUAGAUAGUCAGAUAUUCGAUUGAAAGUAGAAAGUUUGAAUAUACUAUUAUAUAUAGACAACUUCAUUGAUAGUAUAUUCGAAGAUUAUCGAUAUUCCAUGUUAGAAGAAUAGUCGUUUCAUCGAGGGUCUUUUGUCGGUAUGCACCUGAAUGAAGUGUUUCGAUCAUCCUGUAGGGGCCUUCUCAGUUUGG